rnacentral:rRNA from 1 species
CCUACGGGAGGCUGCAGUGGGGAAUAUUGGGCAAUGGGCGCAAGCCUGACCCAGCAACGCCGCGUGAAGGAAGAAGGCUUUCGGGUUGUAAACUUCUUUUGUCAGGGAAGAGUAGAAGACGGUACCUGACGAAUAAGCCACGGCUAACUACGUGCCAGCAGCCGCGGUAAUACGUAGGUGGCAAGCGUUGUCCGGAUUUACUGGGUGUAAAGGGUGUGUAGCCGGGUUGACAAGUCAGAUGUGAAAUCCUGCGGCUUAACCGCGGAACUGCAUUUGAAACUGUUGAUCUUGAGUACUGGAGAGGCAGACGGAAGUCCUAGUGUAGCGGUGAAAUGCGUAGAGAUUAGGAGGAACACCAGUGGCGAAGGCGGUCUGCUGGACAGCAACUGACGGUGAGGCGCGAAAGCGUGGGGAGCAAACAGGAUUAGAUACCCCGGUAGUC